rnacentral:lncRNA from 1 species
UGACGCCCUUGCACCUUCCCAGCUCCCACAGGCCUGGGCUCAGGGCGCUGCACUGCCCAACAGCACCUCAGGAAUGCACAGGGCCACCUGGGGCUGGCAAGAGAGGCUGGACCCCAUCAGGUCCUGGGAGCCCUAGGAUGAGUCUUGAUUUGUAGCCCAGACUGGACUGGAAUUUGCAACCUUCCUGACUCAGCCUCCUGAGUGCUGGGAUUACAGACCCCGAGCCAGGCUCUGGGCUACAGCUGGAGCAAGGACGAGACUUUGGCUUCAAGAAAUCCCUGGAACAAUAACUUGCAGCUGAGCAGCACAAUUGUUUAUGGUUUGUGGUCUGUGAGGCCCUUUUCCAUAUCCUGUCCCGUGAUCCUGGUG